AUGAAGGGGUACAUGGCGUUUUUCGUAAAGGUACUCUCGAUAUUUGUGAUGGUAAUCGUUCCCGUUCGUUCGGAGAGGUGCUUGCUGACUCCGAGCCCUUCACGGUCGAUGGUAGAUGAACUUGACGCUUGCGAUGCACAUGUCUUCAUCGACGGUAGUGGUACACUAGUCGGAGAGGGACGCGGCGAAAAAAUCUCGGUCUCAGGUUCUGUAGUCGUUCAAAGGGCCCAACACAGGGUCUUGGGGAAAACGACGGGAGGCGGGCAGCGAACAACGGUGCGAUGUUCACAUGUCGCGGUGGUCUUGGCGUCCACCGUAUAG
rnacentral:rRNA from 1 species